GCGCAAGCCCUUUACAUGCAGUGGAGCCGCCGUAUCUCGCCGUUCAAGAUAUGCGUACUCGUAAGUGGCAUUUUAAUUUCACGUUGUGUAAUGCAUGACUGUCUUUUUCAAGUGAACAAAGGUCGCUUUGUAUUGUGUAAAUGGUUUUGCAACGUAUGAUAAACUCCUUGUCUUUCGGGCUUAUUUUUUCUGACAGGAAAAAAAAAAAAAGAGGCUUUACAUUAGAACGGAUCAAGCGUUCGAGAGUUGGGACAGGGAAAUGAAACACUGGAACGACACUGCUUAAAUUGAAGCACAGUGUGCGAAUGACCUGCUACGCUCGGAACUGUUAUCACCAUUCGGGAAGAAAUUGGAUGAAAAAACAUAACUGUAAAUACCUGUAUGAUAUACGUCUGGUGCAUUGCAGGUAAGAAUGGAUUGUGUGUGGCGCGCUUCACCGCAUGUGGACUAGAGUAGAUCUAGGAACAUCAGACAAGAAGACACGUAUGUGAAACCCUGCGGAUAGCCCAUAUGUGAACUUUUUUUCCAGAUACGGAGGAACGGACACCGGUCGUGCCGUGAGCACUAUUCUGCAGGGCAUACUUACAAAUGAAGCUGCACUGCAGUUCAGCUGGAAAGGGUCGCAGGGGAGGAAGCACGCCUUCGUGAAGCUCAUGGCCAUCACGAAUAUAACAUCUGUGAGGAGCACGUUCCCUGACGCUUCACUAGCAUCAGUGGCUGGAGUCGCAAAACGCCGGUUGGUUGGAGCAGCUGACAGGGAUGGAGGCCGGAAUGAAAGAAGGCGCCGUGACCCUGCUUCAAGCCCACCAAAUAUGAACUAGUGUUUGAAACUUGUGAACGUGUCGGUGUACAUAU
rnacentral:misc_RNA from 1 species